UUCCUCAAUGAUUACUGAAACCACACAAAGAAUUACUCAAAGCAUUCAUUUCAAAAGAUAUUUGAUGGCUUCUUGAGGAAUGCUAUCCCAGUCAUGGAUCAGUUGGAUAAUUCAUAUUUUGAGCCUGGCGCUCAUUCAGAUUUUCAAUUUUAGAGUUUUCUUGUUUGAAACAACCGUCUACUGAUGGAGUCUUUGAUAUCUUGGUUCUUCAAGGUGUAAAUCACUGAGUUCAACACUGGAAUCGCCAUACUAUACGGGACUGAAAUCGGUCUAUCCUUACU